CAAUUGUAAAGGGGCUUUUUUUACAGCUUGUUUGCCAUUGUCCCUAUUGUACAUUUGUGUGCUCCCCAUAAUUUUUAGGGAAUAUUGGAUGAAAAUGGCUCUUUCAGAACAUCACAGGUUCACAGAUGGACAACAAGUAUCACUGACAAAAACUAACAAUGGUCAAGCUUAGUUUUAUACAUGAAAAUGAAAGAGUUUGUGUUUCACUUUGAAUUUUUUCUUUAUGUUUGUUUUUAUUAUAAACAAUAUCUUAUGAUUGUUUUAUGUCUUAAUUUUUUAUUUUUUUUUAAACAAUCUCAUAUGAUUGUUUAUAUUUGUUUAAAACAGUAUUUACUUGUAAAAUCUGCAUAUUUAAAUAAUUAUGGUAUUGGAAACAUUAUUUUGGAAAUAAUCUAUUUAUUUUUGUACAUAAGUUAUGCAAGAUUUUGAUAUUUGCAUAUGAUACCAUCAUAUCCAUUUUCUUAAUUUGGAAUAAAAUAAUAAAAUGCCAAACAUUACCUGUGUUACAUAAACUGUCAACAAAAUAACAAGACAAUACCUUAAAACACCCUUAUUUCACACCACUAACAAUAAACAGAUAACAAUCUGUCAGGCAUUCAGAGCUAAACAGGGUACUGAUUAUCUAGGGGUAGAUAAGGCUACUGAUGGGGUCCUAGAGAUAAGGCUGUGUGGAAUAAGAUAUAAGGCUUUUGAUUGGCUAUUGCACUGAGGAAGUUAUCUUUUUGAAAACAACAACUUUUGAAAAACAAGCUGGUGUCAGCAACUGAAUAUUGAGCUAAAUUUAAUUCAGCAACAUUAAUAUAAAGAAGUGAAAGACUUAUAAUGGUAGUGUAAAAUGUCUUGAAAUUCUGUCAGCAUGAAGUAUUGUGUGAUGAAAACAAUGUGUUUUUUACUGCAAUGUGGAAAUCAAUAAUAAGUUGGUUGGAAAGGAGGUUGAACUGCCUGUUGUUGUUUUUGGAAUACUGAAGAACAGUUUUAACAGGUUUGUAUUGUCAUUUCUUCACCCCUUUUUUUAUUUAGUUUAUUGAAUUAAUUAUGAUCAUUAUCAUAUUUAUGUAUUGUCACUGGGAAAUGUAAAUGGAUAAGUUAUUGUAUUGCAAUUUAAAGGAUAAACAACACAUUUUGAAGCAAAAAUAGAUAAACUUACACAUGAAAAAGUGUAAAUGUUGUGUACAGUGAAUAAUUAUGGUUGUGUUUCAUGGUUAUUGUCAUCUAAAAUUUUAUUUAUAUCUAUUUCUGGUUAUUACUGAACGGAUUUCUUUCCCUCUUACUUAAUUAGAACUUAUAUAUUUUAAUUUUGAAGGUUAAACUCUUGCCACAAGGCAAAAUUGACAUCGUUGGGAAGAUCCUUUGGAAAGAAUGUGCAUCAUCGCCUGCCUGAUGUAUGGACUUUUAAACCUGGUUUUUACCCUGCACAAGCUGGCAAACUUGAGGGGAACAAGAGUGGGAAAACCUCGCCCUGUCCUUGACCAAGAAAGCUCGAUUUGUUGAGAGAUCAACUGGCAUAAGAGAUGCUCAAGAGGAGAAGGACACAAGCAGCAUCAAUGGAACAACUACAUGUCGCUCCAGCGCCCGCUUUCCAGGUCUCUACCAGCUGCUUUCCAGGUCCCUCCACCCGCCAAGAUCAGGUCUAGGUCCCUGCACUGGCUGCUUUCCAGGUCCCCUAGCGGUCAAGGUCUCUCCAGUAGCUGCUGUGCAGGUCCCAACACCGUAUGCCGUCAAGGUCCCUCCUUAAGCUGAAAUCCAGGUUCCUCAUUCCACUGCGGUUCAGGUACCUCCAACAGCUGAGAUCCAGGUCUCUGCAGCAGCUGCGGUCUAAAUACUCCACCCGCAGUGGUCCAUUGCGGUCAAACUUUUGCUUUAAAAUCUUCCAUAAAUGUCUAUUAUUUUAUAAUGUAUUGUAAAAAUAAUCUGUUAGUAUUAAUUUGCGGUGUACUAUUUUUGUCAUAUAAACAUAAUUUUCGUA